CCUACGGGCGGCAGCAGUGGGGAAUAUUGGGCAAUGGACGCAAGUCUGACCCAGCAACGCCGCGUGAAGGAAGAAGGCUUUCGGGUUGUAAACUUCUUUUAAGGGGGAAGAGCAGAAGACGGUACCCCUUGAAUAAGCCACGGCUAACUACGUGCCAGCAGCCGCGGUAAUACGGAGGAUGCGAGCGUUAUCCGGAUUUAUUGGGUUUAAAGGGUGCGUAGGCGGUAUUUUAAGUUAGUGGUAAAACGUCGGGGCUUCACCUUGAUUGGCCAUUAAAACUGGAGUACUAGAGUACAGACGAGGUAGGCGGAAUAAGUUAAGUAGCGGUGAAAUGCUUAGAUAUAACUUAGAACCCCGAUAGCGAAGGCAGCUUACCAGACUGUUACUGACGCUGAAGCACGAGAGCGUGGGUAGCGAACAGGAUUAGAUACCCCUGUAGUC
rnacentral:rRNA from 1 species